rnacentral:rRNA from 1 species
UCUGGGAUUAGAUACCCUGUUAUUUAAAAUGUAAAUAUAAAAACUGAGGUAGUAGUAGUUAUGUUCUUGAAACUUAAAAAAUUUGGCGGUAUUUUAGUCUAUUCAGAGGAACCUGUUCUAUAAUCGAUAAUCCACGAUGGACCUUACUUAAAUUUGUAAUCAGUUUAUAUACCGUUGUUAUUAGAAUAUUUUAUAAGAAUGUUAAUUUUCAUAAUUUUAUAAAAGAAAAUAUAUCAGAUCAAGGUGUAGCUUAUAUUUAAGUAGAAAUGGGUUACAAUAAAAUUAUUUAUGCGAAUAUAAAUUUGAAAUGUUUAUUGAAGAUGGAUUUGAUAGUAAAAUUAUAAAGAUAAAUAAUUUGAUUUUAGCUCUAAAAUAUGUACAAAUCGCCCGUCACUCUCUGA